CAGGACACACAGGAGGCUGAGCCUAAGGCGUUCAGACCGCCUUGCAGAAGGGCCCCUGGGUUGACAGGGCGCCCUGUCCCCGCCCCACCCAGGACCUGAAGGCGACCCGGCCCGCUGGGCCUCCCCUCUCCGGAUCCGAUCGGAAUCCGUGCCGCGGGGCUUCCUCUCCAGGCGGCUCAGCUGACCCAUCCCCGCACGGGUUGCAGAGAAGGACUAUCUGUAUUUAUUCCAGGAUGACUUCCAAGGACUGUGGCUCAGGGAGAAAAGGUGGGAGCCACAUACACAGUGUGCUGCAUUUCACGUCACCUGUGGAGAGCUGCGUGUGCCGCGCCUUAAAGAUGGCGCUGGUUUCCGCCUUCCGCCAUCCCGACGGCGAGAGCUCUUUAUGAUAAACAACUCCUUAUUUGGCUGUGAUGUGUCUGAUGCUCUGCCCCCUCUUACGUGUACCUAUCCGCAUUCGCC
ensembl:lncRNA